GACGAACGCUGGCGGCGCGCCUAACACAUGCCAGUCGAACGAGCGAGAGAGAGCUUGCUUUCUCACGCGAGUGGCGGACGGGUGAGUAACGCGUGAGGAACCUGCCUCAAAGCGGGGUACAACAGUUGGAAACGACUGCUAAUACCGCAUAAGCCCACGACCCGGCAUCGGGGCGAGGGAAAAGGAGCAAUCCGCUAUCAGAUUGCCGCGCGUCCGAUUAGCUAGUUGGUGAGGUAACGGCCCACCAAGGCGACGAUCGGUAGCCGGACUGAGAGGUUGAACGGGCACAGUGGGACUGAGACACGGACCAGACUCCUACGGGAGGCAGCAGUGGGGAAUAUUGCACAAUGGGGGAAAGCCUGAUGAAGCGACGCCGCGUGGAGGAAGAAGGUCUUCGGAUUGUAAAAUCCUGUUGUUGAGGAAGAUAAUGCCGGUACUCAAAAAGGAAGGGACGGCUAACUACGUG
rnacentral:rRNA from 1 species